CAAAAACAUAGCCAUAUGGUAAUAAAUGGUGUUUUCUGCUCCAUGAGAGAAUUAAAUAGCCGCAGUACAUUGACUGUGCAAAGGUAGCGCAAUCAAUUGACUUUUAAUUGAAGUCCUGUAUGAAAGAACUAAUAGGGGGUAACUGUACUCGGAGGUAUUUCGCAAACUUGCUGAGUAAGUGAAAAUUCUUACAUAUAAUUAAUAGACGAGAAGACCCUAGAAAUUUUAAGAAUUUUAUCCUAAGUCUUUUUGUUGGGGCAACAUAGUAACAGAUAAUCUACUAAUGAACACGAAAGGUUUGCCUAGUAUGAUUAAAUUACUCUAGGGAUAACAGCAUAAUUUAUGAUAAGUUUGUGACCUCGAUGUUGGAUUAGGGAACUGAUAUUUAAAAGACAAUCAAGUUAGCUCUGUUCG
rnacentral:rRNA from 1 species